GCCUCCUCCAGGUCGACUUUCCAGGCGAUUACUCUAUAAAAUCCGAGGCUGGCCAGAAGUAUCUUGUCAGGCUUUCUCGGACUGCUGAAAUUCCUGGAAAAUGGAGGCUUUACUUAGUUGAAUCAGGAAGGCGCCGGCUAUGGGGAAAAAAAAAGUCAAGUUUUCAGACGGGACCCUUUGCUUGCAAUAACAUUAAGUUGGGUAGCAGGUGCUGGGCAAGUGGCUGUACGAUUCCUUAUGCCGAAAAGCUGAUUAAUGUUAAGCAACUGCUGACCUGACGGUUCAGGAAGUUUUGCUGAGCUUCUUAUGAAAAAUCUCCCUGUGUAGCCUUGGCUGUCCUGGAACUCACUCUAUCAAACAGGCUGGCCUCAAACUCAUGAAGAUCUGCCUGUCUCUCCCUCCCAAGUACUGGGAUAUUAAAGGUCACAAUGCCAGAUCCUGAACUCUGCCUGUGACCCUAACUACUUAGAAGUUCUGACACCGAGCGGAUGAAUAAAGUUGCUCCUGCUCAUCUAACUUUGGUGGCCUUGUCCUCAAUAUUUCUGAGGCGCCCCGACCUUGAAUCUCAUAUUGAAGACCUUGAAAGCUCUUCACUGUCUAAAUGAACUGAUUCUGUAAUUCCAUCAGUGGCUACUGCAACAUUCAUAACAUUGCAUCUACCGUAGAUGCAUCUACCAUGGGUGUGCUUCAGAGAGCCCCAGCCCCAAACCCUCUCCAUGUGUCAUUUUGGGGGGCAGCGAGCUAUAAAGUAAAAACAAUCCUCUUCUAUAGGACAGCUGUGGAUUCAGAACAAAAGACUAAAAUUCUUAAUCGGGCAUGUUGCACAAACCUGUAAUCCCAGCACUUAGGUAGAGGCAAAGGUUCAGAAAUUCAAGGUCACUCUCUGUGACAUUUGAGUGAGUUUGAGGCCAGCCUGGGAUACACAUGACCUUGUCUUAAAAAUAAAGUAGGACUGGAACCCAAGGCUUACUUCAUUAGCAGCUGUCACUGGGUCACCCCGGCCCUCCUUUGUGCCCCUUUAUUAUGUAUGCAGACUCCUGCUGAAUGUUCCCUCUAGGUUAUUUCCCCCACAGUCCUAGGUUCC
rnacentral:lncRNA from 1 species